rnacentral:misc_RNA from 1 species
CCAUUUUCAUUUCUUAUGAACUAUACAAGGGAGUUUAUUUCCAAGACUUGCUCUGCAAUUUUUUACCCAGUAGACACAAACAGGCUUGCUGCUUCAAGAAUCUGUUCUACUGAAAUUCACAAGCAUUACAUGCCAAGGCUAAUUGAACCUUUAAAACAAUAACACGUGUAAUGACCCCAACAUUGUUCAUUUGAUUUUACUGUAUCUAGAAUCGAAUUGCAGAGAAACGACAAGCACGAAGCAGCAUCAUCCAACAAAAAAGUAAAGGAGGCGCGUUAAAAAAUCAAGGGGAAUUAAAAAAAGAGAAGGAAAAGACCACAAAAGGAAACCUUUACAAGCAAGCCCACCAUAGACACCAAAUGAACAACUAAGUUUUACAAUUCAUAAUACGUGGCAAAUCUUUUCUACUCCUACAACUUGUUUCUUCAAUUUUGUUUGCUACCAAUAAGAUGCUUCCAAAAUUAGUUAGAAGUUUUCCACUAUAGCCUUUGCUUCACCCGCCUCCCAUUCAGGUCACUGCCAUCAAGGAUAGCUUCAUUCCCAUGCCUACACACAAUCACAGUGUGUUCACCAACUCUAGCCACGUACUCCAAGAGUUCUGUAAGGACAGACGGGCAGCUUUCCUUCAAAUAUUCAAAGCCAUCCGUUUGCAUCACAGCUCUCAGAUUUUCUGGCAUUGCUACGAAUUUGAGACACACAGCCUUCAGCUGGAAACAAUGGUGCUGCUCUGCCAAGGCUAGCGUAGUUGCCACUGUGUUUAUAGCCACAUCCUCACAGAGAUUGGCCUCACAAAGCACUCUGAGCCUGUCCAAACCAUACCUAUCAGCUGCUGCUAGCAGAUGCUGAGACAUCAAAGUUGAGGCCCACUUGGAGUUCAAACCAGUAAGCUCUUCAAGGUCAGGUAGUGAAUCCCAGUAUAUAAAAUGAAGCAAAGCCUGCAAGGACAAAAAAAAGGGGGAACCAAAAAGCAUUAGGCCUAUGCAUUUAUCAUGUACAAUUUGUCCAAUGUCCACUGAACACAGCACAAGGAAUGAAGAAAAGUAAUGCGAAUGCUCUGAAAAUAUGUAGAGCCAGUUACAUAGAAAGUGUAUGAAUAAUUUCAAUGCAGAAGGUACUACAUUGAAAAAGACAGUUUUGCACAAUGCAGCACCGCACAAGAAAAGUUUCAAUGCAAGAUACUACAUUUUACUGAAGUAUAUGAAACCGAGAGAAUAUUUUGAGUUACUUAUACACAAAACAUGUAACAGAACAAGAUGCUAAAGGUACCCAAGCAUCUGAGAAACAUAAUGGGGAGUAAAUACCAAGUGAAAUAUGUUAAAAGUAUACAACCUUAAAAACUGGAGCCUCUAUGUCUUCAACUUUUAUUAACUGGGUAUUUUGAUCCUUCAUUGGACCAAAAAGUUGGGCCCUGAAUACAGGUGAUCGAGUAGCAAGUACCAAUUUGUGAGCAGCAAAAACUUCUCCAUCAACUUCAAAUUUUACGUCAGUUCCCUUUCCACUUUCCAAUAGUUUUCCAAAAUUCUGGCCAAUGUUAGAAGGUGGUACUGCUAUAGAAUAAGUCUUAGGGCCCUCUGUGUGUGACUUAACAACACCUAAACUACAGUGAACUUGAAGGCAAUCCUCUUUGAGGUAAUCGGAUGACUCCAGAAGAGUUCUUUUGAAAAACCUUUUGUAUCCCCACAUGCUUCCACGAUAUUUAAGCGUAUAUGGCCCACUCUCAAGCGUCCUCCCAAAAUGGCUAUGAACCUUAUGCCUCUCCUUCCCACUCUGAUCCAAAAGCGUCAACUCGAAAAGAGCCCUUACAUCGGUGCCUUCACUGGCCAACGCUAUAAACAGAGAAACAUAAGUGGCAUUAUCCUCGACGCUCUUCCCAUCUGGAUAGAAAUAAAUCGCCCAAGAGUAACCCCCUACAUUAAAAGUAUCCGACGCAAUAUAUUUCCCGAUCCCCAAUCCCUUGGAUAAAGAAUAACCAGUGAUCUUGAACUGGUGUGACCCAUUCACCGUCUCCGAAAUCGAAGUGGAAGUCGUCGUCGAAGAAGAGGAAGAAGAAAAGGGCUUGGUGGCUUCUCUGAGAAUCCUUCCCAUGCCCCCCUGACUGGACGAAAUUCCCGUAAUUGGGCAAGAAUCUGAAAGGAAAAGGGAUAGAAAAUCUAGGGAUUUUGAGAGGGAAUUGAAUUGGGUAAUUUGUUAAAAAAUUAAAAAAUCUACCUAGGGUUCGGGGAGCAAAUGAGAGAAGACGAAGAUGGGAAUGACGAGGUUAGGGCGACAGAAGAGCGGUGGGGUUUAAUUAUAUAAGCAGAGAGAAAGGAAGAAUUAUUGAUACCUGGCUUCCAAGUAUGUGGUUGUAACUAACCG